rnacentral:rRNA from 1 species
ACGGGUGAGUAACGCGUAAGGAACUUGCCUCUUGGUCUGGGACAACUGUUGGAAACGACAGCUAAUACCGGAUAUUAUGAGAUUCUCGCAUGGGAAACUUAUGAAAGCUAUAUGCGCCAAGAGAGAGCCUUGCGUUCCAUUAGCUAGUUGGUGGGGUAACGGCCCACCAAGGCGACGAUGGAUAGCCGGCCUGAGAGGGUGAACGGCCACAAGGGGACUGAGACACGGCCCUUACUCCUACGGGAGGCAGCAGUGGGGAAUAUUGGACAAUGGGCCACAAGCCUGAUCCAGCAAUUCUGUGUGCACGAUGAAGGUCUUCGGAUUGUAAAGUGCUUUCAGUUGGGAAGAAGAAAGUGACGGUACCAACAGAAGAAGCGACGGCUAAAUACGUGCCAGCAGCCGCGGUAAUACGUAUGUCGCAAGCGUUAUCCGGAUUUAUUGGGCGUAAAGCGCGUCUAGGCGGAAAAAUAAGUCUGAUGUUAAAAUGCGGGGCUCAACUCCGUAUUGCGUUGGAAACUGUUUUUCUAGAGUACUGGAGAGGUGGGCGGAACUACAAGUGUAGAGGUGAAAUUCGUAGAUAUUUGUAGGAAUGCCGAUGGAGAAGUCAGCUCACUGGACAGAUACUGACGCUAAAGCGCGAAAGCGUGGGGAGCAAACAGGAUUAGAUACCCUGUAGUCCACGCCGUAAACGAUGAUCACUAUGUGUUGGGGGUCGAACCUCAGCGCCCAAGCUAACGCGAUAAGUGAUCCGCCUGGGGAGUACGCACGCAAGUGUGAAACUCAAAGGAAUUGACGGGGACCC